GGUUAUGGCUCAGUGGUAGAGCACUUGCCUAGCACAUGUGAGGCCCUGGGUUCAAUCCUCAGCACCA
rnacentral:tRNA from 1 species